rnacentral:rRNA from 1 species
GAUAAACGCUGGCGGCGUGCAUGAGACAUGCAAGUCGGACGAGUGACUCGGGCUUGCUCGAGUCACUAGUGGCGGACGGCUGAGUAACGCGUAGGUGACCUGCCCCGAAGUGGGGAGUAACUGCCCGAAAGGGUGGGCUAAUACCGCAUGUGGUCACACGUUCGAUCGUGUGAGUGAAGCCGCAAGGCGCUUCGGGAGGGGCCUGCGUCCGAUUAGCUCGUUGGNGGGGUAACGGCGUCACCAAGGCGACGAUCGGUAGGUGGUCUGAGAGGACGAUCA